rnacentral:lncRNA from 1 species
AUAGAUUGCAAGGGUUUAAUGAUGACAAAAACCUGUUUAUAGCACAGUCUAUUUCUUUCAUUUUCCUUGAAAAUACCAAACUGGUUGUUACAGAGACCCAAGGCUGAAAUAUUCCAAAGCAACGUUUCACUCAUCCUUCCUCCCAGAUUCUUUUCUCUGCUGCAGUCAAUUCCCCCUUUUUCCAUUUGUAGAGACAAAAGGGAACAUUCUAUAACCACUGGCCUCUGUCCAGGAACACAGGAGAAAAUGAAGCAAGGCAAACAACAGAGAAAAGUGAACAACAAAAGAACAAACUCAAACGAAACUGCUUAACAAUCCUACAGUGCAGACCUGGCAGAAAUAUAAAGCCCACAGUCAUGUCCUCCAGACUGGCUCUUCUGUCUGCUGAUUAGCUUUGAUACCAUCUUCAAUAGUUAGCCAGUGACUCCAGUGUCAGCAAAUUUCCUUCUUCUAUUAGAGACUCACCAUUCCACCAGAGGAGGGACCUCUGCAUUGGGGAAUUUACUUGCCAAUCAUCUCUCAAGUAGAUCCUGGAGACUUGGGGAUGAAAGAUGUUACCUAAAUACAAAGUGUUCUCAUCAAAUGCUUUUAUAAUGUAAAAUUAGCUAGGCUCAAAGGAGCAGGAAUAUGACUACAUUUAAUGUAAUUGUAUUUAUUGGCUUAGUUAUAAUUGGCAAAGUUCAUCCUGAAAUAUUUUCCAUGAAGUUAAGAGAGUUAAAUAUCUUGGAAACCCUCUCCUUAGACUCCCCUAUGCCCCUGGAUUCUAAAUUAUUUCUGAUAGAUGGAAACAUUUUAGUUCCUUUGCCUUUCAUUAAUCCAAUAUUUGAUGAUAGGCCCAUACUUCAGGGUUGCCCAACUCCGGGGGACCCUGUUCACAGGGCUGUCCCAUGGAAUUGUGCAACACAGGGUUCUGUAUGGAUCCAAAAGUGACUUUUUAAAACAAUUCUGUAUGAUGUUCUCAAUUUUUGAUAUGGCUAUUGGAAUUUAAUUCUGAUUAAAUAUGCUCAAGCUAUAGGGUCAUCUACAGUUGAGGAUCAUAGUGAUCAACACUUCAAAGUGUGCUAGACAUUACUAGUUGCUUGGGAUAUCAACAGGUAUUUUGUAAAAGAAAAGAUUCAUGACGUCAGCCUUGGCAAAUAAUUUAUGGCUAAGUCCUCAAAAGCAAUUGCAACAAAACCAAAAAUUGACAAGUGGGACCUAAUUAAACUAAAGAGCUUCUGCACAGCAAAAGAAACUAUCAACAGAGUAAACAGACAACCCACAGAAUGGGAGGGAACGUUCUCAAACUAUGCAUCCAACAAAGGUCUAACAUCCAGAAUCUAUAAAUAAACAAUUCAACAAGCAAAAAAUAAUCCCAUUAAAAAGUGGGCAAAGGACAUAAACAGACUCUCCUCAAAAGAAGACACACAAGUGGGCAACAGACAUUUGAAAAAAUCCUCAGCAUCACUGAUCAUCAGUGAAAGGCAAAUCAAAACCACAAUGGCAUAUACUGUCUCAUACCCAUCAGAAUGGCUAUUAUUUAAAAGUCAAAAAAUAACAGCUACUGGCAAGGCUUCGAAGAAAAGGGAACACUUACACACUGUGCGUGGGAAUGUAAAUUAGUUUAGCCGCUGUGGAAAGCAGUUCGGAGAUUUCUCAAAGAACUCAGAACUACUAUUUAACCUAGCAUCCUAUUACUGGGUUUAUAUCCAAAGGAUAAUACAUUGUUCUAUCAAAAAGACACUUGAACUUGAAUGUUCAUUGCAGUAUUAUUCACAAUAGCAAAGACAUGUAAUUGACCCAGGUGCUGAUCAAUGGUGGACUAGAUAAAGAAAAUCUGGUACAUACACACCACGAAAUACUACACAACCAUAAAAAAGAAUGAAAUCAUGUCCUUUGCAGCAAUAUAGAUGCAGCUGGAAGCCAUUAUUCUAAGCAAAUUAAUGCAGAAACAGAAAAUCAAAUACCACAUGUUCUCACAAGUGGGAGCUAAACAUUGGGUACACAUGGACAUAAAGAUGGGAACACAGACAUUGGGGGUUACUAGAGGGUGAGGGUUGAAAAACUACAUAUUGGGUACUAUGCCCAGUACCUGGGUGACAGGAUCAUUUGUACCUCAAACCUCAGCACCAUGCAGUAUACCUGUGUAACAAACCUGCACAUGUAUCCCCUGAAAAGUUGAAAUUAUAAAAAAGUAGAAAAACUCCAUAAUUAAAAUUAAAACUCAAUUUAGGAGAUAGUGAUUGAGUAAAGUUAAGCAGCUCUUCCUAUUGCAAGACUCUUUCUGGUCUUAAGUAUGCCAAUAUCUUUAAGAAUUUCCAAGGGGGAAGCAGAAUAUGCAAUGUUCACACAUUGUUGAACACAGAAGUGCCACCCUCACUGUCUUUGUUGUCCCUUGUCAGGAUAUCUUAUAGAGCCAGCAGUCUGUGGUAAGUGCACACUACUGUGCUAUUAUUGAAGUACCUGAGGCAUCCCAUCUAGGCCAGUGGUUCUCAAACUUCAGCAUGCAUCAGUGCCACCUGGAGAACUUAUUAAAACACAAUUCCUGAGCCUAUCCUGAGAGAUUCUGAUUCAGUAGGUCCAGGGUGGGGCCCCAAAAUUUACUUAUUUCUAAUAAGUUCAUAGGUGCUGCUGCUGCUGCUAGUGCAGAGACUAUACUUUGAGAAGCAGGGGCGUAGCAGGAUUUAGUGAUUCCCCAGAAAGAAUAAUGACCUGGAGGGAAAGGAGUGGUUUUCUAGUCACAAGGCCUGUUCUUUUGGAAUAAUGAAUGCACUAUUUCCCCACCAAAGCAUCAUGGUGACAGGAUACUUGAUUUUUAAAGGCCAGGGUUGAGGGCUUAAAGGAGAAGACGAGAUCUGACCUGGGAGCACAAUUAACUGGGUAGUGACAGAAGCUAUGGUAGAAGCUGGGUAGUUACAGAAGCUAUGGGAGUCUGUUUAGCACAGGAGUUGGGAGGACUAGCUUUGUUGUCAGGCAAAUCGUCUCUCAAGCUUCAAUUUCCCCAUCUGUCUUAUGGGUAUCAUACCUGCUGUAUUAGUCCAUUCUUGCACUGCUGUAAAUAAAUACAUGAAACUGGGUAAUUUAUAAAGAAAAGAGGUUUAAUUGGCUCAUGGUUCCACAGGCUGUACAGGAGGCUGGGGAGGCUUCAGGAAACUUACAAUCAUGGCAGAAGGCAAAGGGGAAGCUGGCACGUCUUAUAUGGCUGGAGCAGGAGGAAGAGAGCAAACAAGGACAUGCUACACACUUUUAAACAACCAGAUCUCUUGAGAACUCACUCAUGAACAUGAGAACAGUCCCAAGGGAGAAAUCUGCCCCAAUAAUCCAAUCACCUCCCACUAGUCCCCUUCUCUCACAAUAGGGAUUACAAUUCAACAUGAGAUUUGGGUGGGGACACAAAUCCAAACCAUAUCACCCGCUAUGAUUGUGGGAGGAUCAAUCAAAUCAGCCAGCAGGUGGGAAGCACUUAGCACAGUGUUAUGUGGCAGGCACUUAAUAAAUGCUUGCUGGAACUAAGGCAAGAAUUAGGUACAGGAAGUGAGACAUCAAGGCCAGACAACAAACCUGUUUUGCUGAGCAUUUUGUCCAAGUGCUCUUAAAAUACUUUUGUCUGGGAUUGGUUUCUUUGUGCAGGACUGGGAUUAGAACUAAGAGGCCCCUCCAUGGGGAACUGCAGGCUCCAGGAGCCAGGCUGCCAUCUCAGAAACCACCGGGUCUUUUGACUCUCCCAAAGCUAUCUAUAGCCCACAAUGACACACAGUAGGUGCUCACUAAGUAUCUGUUGAAGCAUCAAUGCACUUAACAGAGGGAUGUGAACAACCUGACUCCCAGGAGCUACUGAACAGUAAAACACUGAGGUUUGCUUUAGUCAGACAAGCUUUGUCUUCUCGGAACAAACAAAAAAACAAUAAAAAUAAAUCAGACAAGGCUUUGUUUCUGAAAGACACUGAACAAAUACACUUGAGGUAUUAUCUCAAGAAAAAUCAAUGUCUUUCCCAUCCACCGGUGUACGUGCCUUUGGCAUUGACUUGGAAACACUGAAACCCUCCUGGCCCAGUGCUCUCUUGAGUCCACAGGCUGAGAAUACCAGUUCCAGCAUUCCCAGCUGGCCAAGCCGAUGAGAACUCAUUUCCUUCUUGGAGUGCAGAGCCAUCACUGCAGGAAGAAAAAGUGGAUGAGGAAGACCCUUUGGACAUCGUCAAAAGAGGCAUUGUUAGCAAAUGACGGGGGGCCAGUCCUGAAAGCCUGUGAGGCUGUGAGCAACUCUCCCACCUGCUCUUCUCUGUCUGUCCUACUCCUCAUGACAAUGACUCUUAUCCUGGAGGGCCUGCAGUAGCGUUUGACACACGUACCUCAUUUAAUUCUCACAAGAGUUCUAUGAAACAGGCUAGGAUUUGGCAAACCAUUGUCAGCUACCUGUUUUUGUAAAUAUAGUUUUAUUGGAACAUAACCACCACAAUUUAUUUACAUAUUGUCUAUAGCUGCUUUUACUCUACAAUGGCAGAGUUGAGUAGUUGUGACAAAAGCUCUAGGCCCUGAAAAGUGCAAAAUAUUUAUUUUACUAUGUGGCCCUUUACAGCAAAGGUGUGUUGACCCCUCAGAUAAAUGGGACAUUGCUCCCACUUUACAUAUGAGGCACAGAAAAGCUAAGCGCAUUGACUGAGAUCAUUUGGGUUAUAAAUUAUAGUGUCAGAGAUGUCUCGGACCCAGAGACAACUGUUCCCUAUGCUUUUCUCCUCCCUACCUUAUAGCAUCUCCUACUCUUUCACAUUCAUUUGUUCCUACUAAAUGUGUCAGCCAAAAAGAACACAUUCAUUUGCACUGAACAAGACGUCUCAGGUUGACCAUCACACAGAAGUCAACAGGAGGUUCUGGAGACUUGCAGAAAGUGAUCAUCCAGCAUAUCCUCUCCUCUCCUCUCCUAGCCCCUAAGGACUGAUUCGUAGUCUGCCCAGAGUUUAUAAGAGAGACAGUCAUCCAACAUGAAUAGAGAUGGCCUGAGCAGGCAUGGGCUCUUUGAAAUUCGGAGAGAUCAGCUCAAAGAUACACUGGGAAGAACCAGGUUGCCCCAAGCAAAAGGCAACAACUGCCCUUGGUUGAGCAAGAUUCCUUGGGAAGCUUAUUGGAGGCCCCACCUCUAAGGACAGGCCCACAUUUGCCUUGUCUGCCAUUCUUCCCUUACUGAUGUAUUCUGACCCUGUCUUGGCUUGAUUUAUCUUUGAUGUCUUUGAUGUUGCUCAUGACCAUGCUGCCUUCUUCCUGGGAGUUCCCAUCUGGUCCUGGUUUCUGCUUCUCUUGCCUUAGCUCAUACUCAAACCCUGUGGGUAACAGCCCACGUGCAACAGUGGUCUGCAGCUCCUGAGGGCUGUUGAAAAGAUUGCUUCAUUCAAUGCCAUAAAAAUAUCCAAGAAUACAGCAAUUGUUAUAGAAAUUAUGGUAAAUCUGCACAAUGAAAUAUUAUGCAGCCACUAAAACGGACAUCAAUUCAGAUUUCUAAAUGACACAAUGUAGCAGAGACAGGGCCAGGUUCAUGGGUGUGGGUCCUACACAGUCAUACAGGGCUCCACACUUACAAGGGCCCUACACUUGGUUUAAUGCUCCAUGGCUGCCACCUUGAAAUUCUGAAUAGUUUUAUAACAAGAGUCCUCCACAUUUACAUUUCACAUUGAGCCUAUAAAUUGUUAGCUAGUCCUGAGCAGAGAUGACUCUGAGUGCCCAUUUUCUCCUGUCUUUUAGUAAUAGAACCUCCUCCCUUUGCUUCAUACAUACACCCUGACUAGUGUUUCCACGCUGGAAUUCCUUCCCAGUAUUUCUUGAGAAUUUUUUAUGUUUCUCCAAAUCUCGAAAGAAAAAUCAGUCAAGAAAUUGGGAAAAAGUAUUGUAAUUAUCCUGCAGGAAUCAAGGCUUAAUGAUCAACAUAAAGACAUCACUGGUUUGAAUCCAUCAAUGUCAAAUGAAAAGCAAGAGCAGGAAAGGCUGGCAGGUGGAAGAGCAUAUAGCACAUAGGAGAGCACAUAGGUCAAGAGCUGAUCAGUCAAUCUUGCUUGUAGCCAUUGUCCUGUUCUAAGUGUGUGUUCUUGGCCCUGACUGAUGCUAAUGGCAAGUCAUUCUUGGAAAUAAAAUAAGCAGUAUUAGGUUUAUAUGUAUGUAUACUUUAUUCAAAUCCUGCUAGUGAUGUUCUAGGAAAUAACAAAUUUGGGAAGCAAAAUACGCCCUUAAUUGGCAAUUUCAAUGUGUGAUUCUGUGUAGUGCUUUAACCUUGCUAGGAGAUCUGAAUGUCACAUUCUUUGAAUAUUACCCAAAAAUGUUCACUGGUAUUUUCUAAUGUUUGAUUUUUUUUUUAUCUCAGGCUAUAGUUGUUUAUAAAUUUGCUAAAUGUAAUAUUUCUUAUUUAUUAAACCAAUUUCUUUUAGAUAUCCACAGUAAUGACUAAAGAGUAUAAAAAUUGCUGGAAGUCUUUUAUUUUCUUCUUGUUACUUAGUUUUCAUUUUGUAAUUAUAAACUUAACUCUGCGAUCCAGCUAGACAUGGAAGAGGAUAAGGAAAAUAUGGAACCCAAAGGACUGUGCAAAGAUUAUAGGAUGCUGUGAGCAAAUGGGGUGGAAGCAUGCUUUCCUGAGCUAUAGAAGGAACGAUCUGGUGGUUCAGAUAAAACAAUCAAAUUUAUUAGAGUUGUCCACAGUCAGCAGCUGUGAUCUUCUUGCUGGUCUUACCAUUCCUGGACCCAGAGCGUUCCAGGGCUUCCACAAUACUCAUG